rnacentral:rRNA from 1 species
GAUGAACGCUGGCGGCGUGCCUAAUACAUGCAAGUCGAGCGAACAGACGAGGAGCUUGCUCCUCUGACGUUAGCGGCGGACGGGUGAGUAACACGUGGAUAACCUACCUAUAAGACUGGGAUAACUUCGGGAAACCUGAGCUAAUACCGGAUAAUAUAUUUAACCGCAUGGUUCAAUAGUGAAAGACGGUUUUGCUGUCACUUAUAGAUGGAUCCGCUCCGCAUUAGCUAGUUGGUAAGGUAACGGCUUACCAAGGCAACGAUGCGUAGCCGACCUGAGAGGGUGAUCGGCCACACUGGAACUGAGACACGGUCCAGACUCCUACGGGAGGCAGCAGUAGGGAAUCUUCCGCAAUGGGCGAAAGCUUGACGGAGCAACGCCGCGUGAGUGAUGAAGGUCUUCGGAUCGUAAAACUCUGUUAUUAGGGAAGAACAAAUGUGUAAGUAACUAUGCACGUCUUGACGGUACCUAAUCAGAAAGCCACGGCUAACUACGUG